GAUGAACGCUGGCGGCGUGCCUAAUACAUGCAAGUCGAGCGAACGGACGCGACGCUUGCUUCUCUGAUGUUAGCGGCGGACGGGUGAGUAACACGUGUAUAACCUACCUGUCAGACUGGGAUAACUUCGGGAAACCGUAGCUAAUACCGUAUAAUAUUUUGAACCGCAUGGUUCAAAAGUGAAAGACGGUCUUGCUGUCACUUAUAGAUGGAUCCGCGCUGCAUUAGCUAGUUGGUAAGGUAACGGCUUACCAAGGCAACGAUGCAUAGCCGACCUGAGAGGGGGAUAGGCGACACUGGAACGGAGACACGGACCAGAGUCCUACGGGAGGCAGCAGUAGGGAAUCGGCCGCAAUGGGCGAAAGCCUGACGGAGCAACGCCGCGUGAGUGAUGAAGGUCUUCGGAUCGGAAAACUCUGUUAUGAGGGAAGAACAUAUGUGUAAGUAACUGUGCACAGCUUGACGGUACCUAAUCAGAAAGCCACGGCUAACUACGUG
rnacentral:rRNA from 1 species